UAAUACGGGGGGAGCGAGCGUUGUUCGGAAUUAUUGGGCGUAAAGCGUAUGUAGGCGGUCGUAUAAGUCAGACGUGUAAGCCCUCGGCUCAACCGAGGAAUUGCGUUUGAAACUAUUCGACUCGAGUAUAGGAGAGGAAAGCGGAAUUCCCAGUGUAGCGGUGAAAUGCGUUGAUAUUGGGAAGAACAUCUGUGGCGAAGGCGGCUUUCUAGUCUAUUACUGACGCUGAGAUACGAAAGCCAGGGUAGCGAACGGGAUUAGAUACCCCGGUAGUCCUGGCCGUAAACGAUGGGCACUAGGUGCGGGGAGUUAUAGAUCCUCUCCGUGCCGCAGCUAACGCAUUAAGUGCCCCGCCUGGGAAGUACGGUCGCAAGGCUG
rnacentral:rRNA from 1 species